AAAAGAUUGAAGAACAAAUCCAAGAGCUUGACAAGAUUGAAAAUGGUUUAAUGCAAAUGGAGAUAUUUUGGAGAGAUGAAAUGGAUAUAUUUUGGAAAGAUGAAAUGGAUAUAAAAGGAGAAUGUUAAAAACAUACAUUUCAAUUAUGUGUUAAUUCAAGACUUAUGUAAUAUUUUUAAUUAUGUAGUGAUUCAAAGACUUAUGUAAUAUUUUUAAUUAUGUAGUGAUUCAAAUAUUUAUGUAAUGUUUUUAAUUAUGUAGUGAUUUAAUUCGGGUAA